rnacentral:rRNA from 1 species
AUUGAACGCUGGCGGCAGGCCUAACACAUGCAAGUCGAACGGUAACAGGAAACUGCUUGCUGUUUCGCUGACGAGUGGCGGACGGGUGAGUUAUGUCUGGGAAACUGCCUGAUGGAGGGGGAUAACUACUGGAAACGGUAGCUAAUACCGCAUAACGUCGCAAGACCAAAGAGGGGGACCUUCGGGCCUCUUGCCAUCGGAUGUGCCCAGAUGGGAUUAGCUAGUAGGUGGGGUAACGGCUCACCUAGGCGACGAUCCCUAGCUGGUCUGAGAGGAUGACCAGCCACACUGGAACUGAGACACGGUCCAGACUCCUACGGGAGGCAGCAGUGGGGAAUAUUGGACAAUGGGCGCAAGCCUGAUGCAGCCAUGCCGCGUGUAUGAAGAAGGCCUUCGGGUUGUAAAGUACUUUCAGCGGGGAUGAAGGGAGUAAAGUUAAUACCUUUGCUCAUUGACGUUACCCGCAGAAGAAGCACCGGCUAACUACGUG